rnacentral:rRNA from 1 species
UGAAGACCUGUAUGAAUGGCAUAACGAGGGUUUAACUGUCUCUUUCUCCUGGUCAGUGAAACUGAUCUACCCGUGCAGAAGCGGGUAUGAAUAUACAAGACGAGAAGACCCUAUGGAGCUUUAGACGCCCACCAAUCACGAAAAGCAGGUCUCGCUCAACAGACUUCCAAACAACGUGAUACUGGCACAAACGUCUUCGGUUGGGGCGACCGCGGGAGAGAAAAAAGCUCCCGAGAGGAUUGGGGCUACCCUAAAACCAAGAGCUACACCUCUAAGUCACAAAACAUUUGACCAAAAAUGAUCCGGCUACAUGCCGAUUAACGAACCAAGUUACCCUAGGGAUAACAGCGCAAUCCCUUCCCAGAGUCCAUAUCGACGAAGGGGUUUACGACCUCGAUGUUGGAUCAGGACAUCCUAAUGGUGCAGCCGCUAUUAAGGGUUCGUUUGUUCAA